GAUGAACGCUGGCGGCGUGCCUAAUACAUGCAAGUCGAGCGAAUGGAUUAAGAGCUUGCUCUUAUGAAGUUAGCGGCGGACGGGUGAGUAACACGUGGGUAACCUGCCCAUAAGACUGGGAUAACUCCGGGAAACCGGGGCUAAUACCGGAUAACAUUUUGAACCGCAUGGUUCGAAAUUGAAAGGCGGCUUCGGCUGUCACUUAUGGAUGGACCCGCGUCGCAUUAGCUAGUUGGUGAGGUAACGGCUCACCGAGGCAACGAUGCGUAGCCGGCCUGGGAGGGUGCACGGCCACACUGGGACUGAGACACGGCCCAGACGCCUAAGGGAGGCAGCAGUAGGGAAUCUUCCGCAAUGGACGAAAGUCUGACGGAGCAACGCCGCGUGAGUGAUGAAGGCUUUCGGGUCGUAAAACUCUGUUGUUAGGGAAGAACAAGUGCUAGUUGAAUAAGCUGACACCUUGACGGUACCUAACCAGAAAGCCACGGCUAACUACGUGCCAGCCGCCGCAGUAA
rnacentral:rRNA from 1 species